UUGGCUAUGUGAAGAUCGUAUUAUUGAUGAUGAUCUUAGGAAUCACUUACCAUCAUAUCCACCGGUCUAGGCAUGACGCCCGAUUUCACCAACCAGUUCUUCCUCACGAACGUUUUGAUGACUUUAUCGCUCCACUGGUGGAUCUGUAGCGAGUAACCGAGACCAACAAAAUAAUGUUGUCGUUCGUAAACGGAAGCUCUUCAUCUUUUAACCUUUAACCGAUACCCUUCGUGUUGCACCGCAGUUGGAAGCAGAUCAAUUAUCCUAUAACUAUAGCAAACGGCGGAGUUCAAACUUAACCCUUAGAAUCCUCAAAUUUCCACGGAGAAAAUCGAUAUCGAAGACAUUGACUCCGACGAGGCGCAGUUGGGCGUUUAAGCGUGAGAAAAAAUUCAAUUAGGUAUGCGGAAUAGCUGACACAAUACGAAAGUUUGUCCCGGUAAAUGUCGAAGGGACGUUGUAGAAUAGAAACUCCAAGAAGUUGAAAUGAUGAAUAUCGGGUAUCUUGCCGUUCUAACAGAGGCAUACCUUGUGAAUUAUUAAGUUAUGCGAGAAAUGCCGGCUUAAGGUUGACAGUCCCAUAGCGUAUUUAUGAGGGAAUAGACUAAACUUUUCUCCAAGUGAGAUGGGAAAGUUUGGAAGCAAUAGGGCAUUUUUGAAACUGGGUUUCUUUCGUUGGUAUAACUUCAGCAGCCAGCAUAAAUGUUCGUCUACAAGGCGAAAUAUCAGGGUAUUUGAGACAAAUACUCGUGAGGUAACUGACCAAAAAGGUUUCGUAUUAAUCGAAAGAUUGUUUGUUUGAUCGUCUAUUUAUUUGAAAAUAUGUAUUACAAUAUUUGAGCAUAGAACGAAGUUUUUGGCUGCAACCUUCUUCAAUGUUCACAUCUCAAGUUUCUGAAUCAUCUAUGGUGUCAAUGUCAAAUCGAAUGACCAUGGAAUUUUAUUCUUCUUCUUAGUUAUUUGUGUUCGUUUUCUUGAUUCUGAACUGACGUUUAUAGAAUUUUGAUUUUGUUUGACGAAGGUACGUCAUUUCGAGGAACUCUCUUGAUUUUCUGUUGCAUGGUAAGAUUUCUUUUUUCUCUCAACAAGAUCCAACUCAAGCUCGGAAAUAUUCACUCGCAAACUAGUGAUUGUGGUUUCAGUUCAUUAUUACCUGUAGAAAACCUGCAAAUUUCACGAAGAGGUUGAUUUGUUUCAAGAUCAUUGAAAUAUUUCAACUUUUUUCCCGUUCUAUGAUGAGCGUAAGUCGAAUGGGAAGUCAACUUUUCUAACAAGCUACGCAGCCCUAUUCAGCAAGAAUGCAAGCGUCAGCAAAUACUGAUAGAACCUGUAUUUCUACGAAAAAAGUUCUUAUUUACAUGCAGAGCUCCGGAUGACCCUGAGAAUUCUUACACCUAUUAGAAUGCUGGUUUAACUGGCGUUAAAAUUAAUCAAUAAACAAAUUAUUGUACUAUU